rnacentral:rRNA from 1 species
AUUGGACGCUGGCGGCAGGCCUAACACAUGCAAGUCGAGCGAGAAAGGUCUUCGGACUGAGUACAGCGGCGGACGGGUGAGUAAUGCGCAGGAAUCUACCUGGUAGUGGGGGAUAACUCGGGGAAACUCGAACUAAUACCGCAUACGCCCUACGGGGAAAGCGGGGGACCUUCGGGCCUCGCGCUAUCAGAUGAGCCUGCGUAGGAUUAGCUUGUUGGUGAGGUAAAGGCUCACCAAGGCGACGAUCCUUAGCUGGUCUGAGAGGAUGAUCAGCCACACUGGAACUGAGACACGGUCCAGACUCCUACGGGAGGCAGCAGUGGGGAAUAUUGCGCAAUGGGCGAAAGCCUGACGCAGCCAUGCCGCGUGUGUGAAGAAGGCCCUUGGGUUGUAAAGCACUUUCAAUUGGGAAGAUAAUGACGGUACCAGCAGAAGAAGCCCCGGCUAACUCCGUGCCAGCAGCCGCGG